UACGAAGGGGCUAGCGUUGCUCGGAAUCACUGGGCGUAAAGCGCACGUAGGCGGAUCUUUAAGUCAGGGUGAAAUCCUGGAGCUCAACUCCAGAACUGCCUUUGAUACUGGGGAUCUCGAGUCCGGAAGAGGUGAGUGGAACUCCGAGUGUAGAGGUGAAAUUCGUAGAUAUUCGGAAGAACACCAGUGGCGAAGGCGGCUCACUGGCCCGGUACUGACGCUGAAAUACGAA
rnacentral:rRNA from 1 species